GGGGAAAUCGCCAAGAGGUCUAAGGCGCGAGAUUGCAAACCUCGUAUCGCCGGUUCGAAUCCGGCUUUCCCCU
rnacentral:tRNA from 1 species